CUCUCUUCCUCUUUUUCUCUUCUCUCUUGCGAGCCCUCAAAGAUUUUCAUAUGCCUCCACCUCGUAUGCGCCGCCACCGCCUCCUACGCGCCACCUGCGCCUCGAUCACGUGAGCACUGUACGGGGCGAUAUGCCCCUCGAGGCCUUUACUCUCUCUUUCGCUCUCGCUCUCGCUCUCUCUCCGUCGUAUCAAUCUAUCAUGAUCCGUGCUGCCGCCCAUCUCAUCAGAUCUCGCGAUCCCAUGGACCUUGUUGUCCUACUUUCAAAUCCCGCAAUAUCGGCCGGAUCCCAUUGUCCUCCGACUCUCAAAUCCAGCAAUAUCGACUAGAAAUAUCGCUGGAGAUUUUGCACCGUCCGUCCCAUCACAAAUUCAACUGCCACACACAAAUCCCACCGCUCCAUGCUCUCUACCUCUCCAACCUCUCCUACAUCUCUCUCUAGGGUUUUCCAUCCUUAUUCCUAAUUCCUAAUCCCCCAUAAACCCUCUCAAUACAUACUUUUGGCAGAGAAGAAGAUAAGGCGAACAGACUCUUGCUCCAAGCGACAGAGGAGAAUGUACGGCGCGCCGUCAACGACCGAAACCCUAGCGAUGGCGGUGGAGGAAUUUCAGUGAAUGAGGGGAGUGGAGAUCAACUUGUCGGGGCCGUUCGAAUUGGUGAAGGUGGUGAAGGAGGCCGUCAAUUGCUUCUGCGGGAGCGCCAUGUGGAGGUCUCAGCUCAAGCAACUCAUCGCCUCUGAGGUGUGCAGCCUUUUUUUCAAAAGAGGCGUUUCAUCAAUGGCUUUGCAAUGGGAUUUUCUUACCACAAGUUGAGUAUCUAAUUAACUCACACAAUUGUGUUUGCUAAUAUUGUUUGCUGUAGUUGCUGCAGAGAGCAUGACCUCCGUUGCUUAAAUGUGAUUUUACAACCUAUAAUGUGUUUCAAUAGUUAUCAUAUUUUCUCGCAUGCAGAUUGUUCCCUAAAUAAUAGAUGUCAAAAAAGUGUGCUUGCUUUAAUUGACAUGCAGAUGUACCUAUCUUUGUAAUCUAAGAACUAGGCACAUUCUCCACCUCACAAAAAUAGCAUGAUUUUCCAUUGGCCUAAUUCCAAUUAAAAGUUUUGUAAAUAUUGCGCUUCAAAUUAUAUAGUAUUUGCAAAUUCUAUUAGUGGCAUUAGAAGAGAUAUAGCUAAACAUUAUCGGAUUAUCGACAGUGUAACACACUGAACUUUAGCAAAUUUGCGAGGUUCGAGUGUUUGAUUUAUGAACUGAGCCUUUUUGGGUUUUCUGUAUGGUCGUCGACUGUGUUCCGACCUAUGAUUCCCGAGGAGUGAGGAUGAAAAUCUAGCACCAAAACCUCUAAAAAGAAGGAUUUGGGCUGCUCUUGGGUUGACUCAGCAGGGCAGAGUACCGGUACUGCAUCGGCUUGGUACCGGUACUAGACCUGGUACCGGUACUUCAUCGCGAUGGUACCGGUAUGCAGUGUAUUUUCUAGCUUACCCGAGGCUCGGGUUUGGGCGAGCUGCUGCCUAGUACCGGUACUCUUGCCCGCGUACCGGUACGCAGUGCUGCGUGCAGUCUGCAUGUUUUUUAGGGUUCUCCUUGCAAUUGUUGCAACACUUUAUAUACCCCACACCUUUUGGCUGGGGUCUCUUGUGCUGCAACCAGAGAGGAGAAGAGGUAGGGUUCCUCUUCCAUUUUACUUGGAUUUUCCCCUCUCUUUUGCUUUGGAUUUGAGGAUUGAUCUCUCCACUUGCUUCCUUUUUGCAUCUUGGUGACCUUUCCACCAUUGGUGAAGCUUUGGAGCUUGGAUUGGAACCUUUUGGAGGAAAGAUUUCUAACCCUAGCUCACUUCUGGCUUGGUUUGGAGCUUCUAGAGAGGUUGGAUUUGAAGCUUUUUAGCUUCGAUUUGGGCUUUGAUCAAGUUCUUCUUGACCCAAGGGUGUUAGAAGUUUGGAGGACAACUUCAUUCGAAGGAACGAAAGGGUUCGAAGUGCUUCCGGUGGGUUUGACCUCAUCGAAAUGGAUGAACUCCCCCUAUGUCUUCCUUAUGGUUUAAGACAUAUUUAUAUACUUAUCCAUGCUUAAUAUGACAUGCUAGAAUUUAUGAAAACAUAAUACAUACAUGUUAUGUAUAGUCAAAUUUGAUGCUCUAUGUAGUAGAGGCUUAUAUGUGAACUUGUGCACGAACUAGCACUAUUUGAUGCAUUCUCUCUUAUGCAACCAUAGAAAGCAUGUUAGAGUAUGAAUGAUGGUAUGACUCUUAGGGGGUAUCUAGUGAAUGGCUUAGCAAAGUGAUUAUCUCACAUGAUGAACAAUAUACUUGUGACGACAAGGACAUGUGACAUUGCGACCUAGUGAAUAAUAAGGCUAGACAUGAAGCUAAGCAUGUUGUAUUUUAACCUAGUGGGAUGCCUAGGGCUUGAUAUUAUGACAAUGUAUUGACUUUGAGAUCGAUAGCAUAACUACAUGACUUUGACAUGUGAAAUGAAUGAGACUUAGCAAUUAGUUGCUUGUUGAGAUAUACUUGAAUAGACAAGGUAAAUUUGACAGUGGGACAUAAGUGCAUGUUAGGGUCUACAUGAAGCUAGUUUUGAUAAAUCUAAUGUAGUUGAACAACUAGUAUAUGAUAUAGUGAUAUUGCAUACAAUGUAGGGAUCGGUAAUAGCAUUCCAUGUAGUAGACAUGAGGAUAAUGAUUGGAACGCCCUUGGGCGAAUGACAAGUUGGAUAUUUGCAUGUGGCAUUAAUUGAAUGAAAUCACUUGCAUGAUAAUUUACUACUCCAUGUAGUGGAGGCCUUGUUAGUAAUGUAAAUGCAUGACAUGCACCAUGGACAUUGUAAAUACCUAUGCAUAUGGUAUAAGAAAGUGAUUUUUCCCUAGCUAUUGUGGAAUAGUAUAUGUGUAAGCUCUCAUGGAAACUUAAACCUUAGUGAAUUACCCUAGAUAGGAUAAUGACAAGAGUUAUGUGCUUAGGAACUAGUGAUUUAUACUUGAUAUAGUAAACCAUAAUGUCAUAAAGUGGCAUUGGAUUUAGUAAACGGUUAAACUUUUACACCAUGACAUAGAACUAGACCUUUGAAUUGUUAAACCUAUAAAUUUGCAUAAUAAUAUACUUGCAAUGAAUUGAAACCCUACUGUCUAAUCAACGGAGCAUGUGGCUUUCCUUUGUAUGCAUGCUGUAGACUAAACGUAUUUUUGAAGAUUUGUACAAAUUACGAAUGUAGUGUGGACUUAUUUUUAUAAAUUUCUAAAUUAUAUAUUCGAGGCAAUGAUGAUAAAAAAGAAAGAAAGAAUAGGAAUUCCAAUCAAUUUUAUAGUUAACUGAAGUUUCUUCUUAUUGACUCAAUUAUUUAUUCGGUAUUAGCAUUUGUUUAUAUUAAUUUAUUUUUUUUCAAUUCUUUAUGCAUUCUCACACCUUCUUCGGUUUUCUUUUUUCUUUUUUUUUUUUCUUUUUUCUUCACUUCUCCCUAUUAGUUUCUUUUUCUUCCCAGUUUCUUAUGUAUGGCAUAAUAUAUGAUUCAAGUUUAUAACCAAAAAAAAAAAAGAAAUCUGCAGUGAAGCGCGAGUUCUUAACUAGUGAUAUAGUAUGUGGCCUCUCUUGACAUUUUAGAAACGGUAAUACUUGAAAUUUAAUUAGAAAGAGGGGUGCUAGACGAUGACUGGGAAGGAUGCGAUUUGACAUAGGAGUUAAUGAGUUAGAGAAGGGAGCUGAAAGAAAAAAUACAGGUUCUAGACAAUGAAGAAGUGUUGUGAAAAACUAGCGCCAAACAACGGUGGCUGCGAGAAGGUAAUGGAAACUCAAAAUUCUUUUAUGCUAUAACUAGUGGUAGGAAACAUACGAACGAGAUAACUGUGAUUGAGCAUAGUGUACAAAAAAUUCUUCAAUACUGAGAAGAAGAAACAAUACUUUUGGAGAUCCUUUAAAGAAAUGUUUGCAUCCGAAGAGCAACGACCAGUGAUGCGUGGGGACUAGAGAAGCCUGCUCCAUGUCAAAGGAAUUACAAAUCUAGAAUAAUUAACUAGCCCCUUCAAAAUGAAGGAGAUUAGGAUUGCUAUUUUUCAACUGGGAAGAGAUAAAGCACUAGGGCCAAAUGGAUUCCCAAUAAGCUUCUAUCAUACUUUCUGGGAUCUACUCAAGGAGGACAUAUGGAAUUGUAAUGUAUUGGACCUUUGCAUAUGUGUAAGUUUGUAGUAUGAGAUAAUGGUUGGCACUUUUGAAGAGUGGUAGACUGAGUUAGAGCUAUUAUGACAUGAAAUGGAUGCGAAAAUGGACUCGAAAAAGUGAAAUUAGCUGAAACUUGUGUUUCAGGGUAGUUUUGAACACUUGGAAAGUGUAGUGGGCCUAGGAAGUGCUUAGCUGAGGAAUGGUGUGGUUUCGGAGGAUCUAGAUGAUGGACCAAAAGCCCAAAAGUUUCAAGUGGGAUUUUCAUAUGCCUAGUUAUGUCGUAGAUUGAUCAGAAAGAGGAAAGUCACUACUCAUGCAAUGUUGUGGGCGCCUAGAGUUACAAUAGCAACCCGUAAGUCUGAGUAUAAGGUUGUGAAGAGUGGCAAGUAGUGAAUAGGUAGUCACUCUUUGGGAUUCGGAUGAUAAGUGUAACAUACCGGACUUCUAAAGUUAUGAAGUCACGGUGUAUGUUGGGCUGGAAAACUAUUUGAAUGGUUCCGGUGAGGUUCGGUGAAGUUCGGAAGCUUUCGGGCGUUUCGGUGCGCGUAGGCGCGAAAACGGAACCCGAAAGGCUAUGUUGGGCCGUGAGCUAAGUUCGGCAUUAGCGUGGAUGAAAAGAUGAUGGAGACAUGUUCGAAAACAUGUUUGGGAGAAUGUAGCAUAUUGGAACCCAGAAGGAAUUAUUGAACUUUAGCCAAAUUGGCUAAAACAUGCGAAUAAGAUGAAUGGACGAGUUCCAGUUAACAUUCCAUCAAGGUUGGAAGGGUUAAGAUGAGUUCUAAAAGAGUUAGAAAGGUUUUAGCGUUGUCCGGCGCGAAAUAGAGUCGAAAAUAAGCUAAAAAUCAAGUCUGGAGCAUUGUGUACCGGUACAAGUUGAUGGUUGUACCGGUACAACAAGCGACCCGAAGAAUGGCAACUCUCGGGUUUGAGUGAAAAAGGCUGUUAAACCGGUGACACGGGAAAGUGUACCGGUACACUUUGGCAGAAUGGCAAAGAUUUGGUCUGCUGCAAUUAUAAUUGAUUGGAGGGGUUUAUUUGCAAUUGUUACCUAAUGUAAUAGCCCUAAACCCCUCUCCCUCACAGCAGAUCUCUCUCCCUCUCUCCCUCUCGUGUCUCUCCCUCUCCCUCUCAACCGGUUGCAAGAAAAGGAGAAGGAAAAGAAGAAAAGAGAAGGAAAAAGAAAAGAGAAGGAA